rnacentral:rRNA from 1 species
AGAGUUUGAUUCUGGCUCAGAACGAACGCUGGCGGCGUGGAUAAGACAUGCAAGUUGAGCGAUGAACUGACGAUAGCAAUAUCUGACGGGAUUAGCAGCGAACGGGUGAGUAACACGUAGGAAUCUGCCCCAAAGUUCGGAAUAGCCUGGCGAAAGUCAGGGUAAUACCGGAUGUGAUCUUCGGAUUAAAGGCUUCGGUCGCUUUGGGAUGAGCCUGCGUUCCAUCAGCUUGUUGGUAGGGUAAAAGCCUACCAAGGCGAAGACGGAUAGCUGGUCUGAGAGGACGGUCAGCCACAAUGGAACUGAGACACGGUCCAUACACCUACGGGUGGCAGCAGUCGAGAAUCAUUCGCAAUGGACGAAAGUCUGACGGUGCGACGCCGCGUGGGGGAUGAAGGCCUUAGGGUCGUAAACCCCUGUCAGGUGCGAGUAAGGUCCUACUUACGUAGGAAUUGAUAUUAGCAUCAAAGGAAGGGACGGCUAACUCCGUGCCAGCAGCCGCGGUAAUACGGAGGUCCCAAGCGUUGUUCGGAUUCACUGGGCGUAAAGCGUGCGUAGGCGGAGAAAUAAGUUUGACGUGAAAGCCCCGGGCCCAACCCGGAAAUUGCGUUGAAAACUAUUUCCCUAGAGGAUUGGAGGGGAGACUGGAAUUCCUGGUGUAGCAGUGAAAUGCGUAGAUAUCAGGAGGAACACCGGUGGCGAAGGCGAGUCUCUGGACAAUUCCUGACGCUGAGGUACGAAGGCUAGGGUAGCGAAAAGGAUUAGAUACCCUUGUAGUCCUAGCAGUAAACGGUGUGCACUUGCUGUAGGCGGAUUCGACCCCGUCUGUGGCGAAGCUAACGCGUUAAGUGCACCGCCUGGGGAGUACGGUCGCAAGAUUAAAACUCAAAGAAAUUGACG